rnacentral:lncRNA from 1 species
UUUGUAUAAGAUCUUGAGUCUUGACAUUGUAUUUUUAAGUUUUAAGCAUCGUUAGGUUUUACAAACCCAAAUCUCUUAUUGUUGGAAAGUUUAUUCCUUUCUGCUAGCUGCUCUACCUAGGGCAACCAAAAGAGACUCAUUGGAUUUUUCUUUUUAUUUUAUGUUUUUGUGUGGGCAAACCCAAAUCUCUUAUUGUGGUUCUUCGGGUGCCAAUUGAUAUUUUUUCCUUUUCUUUUUUAUCAAGGUUUUUUUUUUCUUCUUUUAAAUUGUUAAAUUAUAAGCGUGGGAGCAUGUAGGAGUAUUUAAAGUUUCUAGCCGAAAAUCUUGCUUUAAAGUUUUUACAUUUUUUGAAAACUUUGUUAUUUUCCUAUUUUAAUUUCUUGUUUAUUCUUAGGGUUUCUAGGAGUAUUUAAAUAGAUUUAACCCGUGGCUAGAGUUAUGUUUUGUUAUUCCAAUUUAUCAAAUAAGGUUUCCUCAUAUUUUUUGGGUAGAUUCCAGAGUUAUAUAUUCUAAACUAAAAUUUUAAUCAAUCUUUUGUCACGUUGCGUCAUCUAGAGGUUUAUAAUGCUACAAGCCCAUCGGGUUAUUACAAUCGGCCCAAUAUAAUCUUUAUUGCAUCGAAAAUAUUAUUUGUUAGAAAGGUUUUGUGGGUUUAGAUUGACCUUUCCUUUUUCAACUUGGAAGUUAGCUUUUCUGAUUGGUCAGCAACAUCUUAAAAUAGGUAAGGUGUAUAUUUCUUCCAUCAAAUUAUUUGGUUGGCUUAGAUUUCACGAAAUACGGUUAGAUGUAUGAAUUCUAAAUGCAGAGGCUCGGGAUCCAAUAUAUAUAUAAAUGUUAGGGUUUUUUAUUUUUCUC